rnacentral:rRNA from 1 species
UACGGAGGGAGCUAGCGUUAUUCGGAAUUACUGGGCGUAAAGCGCACGUAGGCGGCUUUGUAAGUUAGAGGUGAAAGCCUGGAGCUCAACUCCAGAAUUGCCUUUAAGACUGCAUCGCUUGAAUCCAGGAGAGGUGAGUGGAAUUCCGAGUGUAGAGGUGAAAUUCGUAGAUAUUCGGAAGAACACCAGUGGCGAAGGCGGCUCA